CCUACGGGAGGCAGCAGUGAGGAAUAUUGGUCAAUGGGCGGGAGCCUGAACCAGCCAAGUCGCGUGAGGGACGACGGUCCUAUGGAUUGUAAACCUCUUUUGUCGGGGAACAAAGGCGGGGACGUGUCCCCGGAUGAGUGUACCUGAAGAAAAAGCAUCGGCUAACUCCGUGCCAGCAGCCGCGGUAAUACGGAGGAUGCGAGCGUUAUCCGGAUUUAUUGGGUUUAAAGGGUGCGUAGGCGGUCUGUUAAGUCAGCGGUAAAAUUGCGGGGCUCAACCCCGUCGAGCCGUUGAAACUGGCAGACUUGAGUUGGCGAGAAGUACGCGGAAUGCGCGGUGUAGCGGUGAAAUGCAUAGAUAUCGCGCAGAACUCCGAUUGCGAAGGCAGCGUACCGGCGCCAGACUGACGCUGAGGCACGAAAGCGUGGGGAUCGAACAGGAUUAGAUACCCCGGUAGUC
rnacentral:rRNA from 1 species